UCGAGUAUUGCCAUAAUCCAUUCCAACUUGC
rnacentral:piRNA from 1 species